rnacentral:rRNA from 1 species
CAGUAGCCACGGUAAUACGUAGGGAGCAAGCGUUGUUCGGAUUUACUGGGCGUAAUGGGCGCGUAGGCGGCGCGGUAAGUCACUUGUGAAAUCUCUGAGCUUAACUCAGAACGGCCAAGUGAUACUGCUGUGCUAGAGUGCGGAAGAGGCAACCGGAAUUCUUGGUGUAGCGGUGAAAUGCGUAGAUAUCAAGAGGAACACCUGAGGCGAAGGCGGGUUGCUGGGCCGACACUGACGCUGAUGCGCGAAAGCCAGGGGAGCAAACGGGAUUAGAUACCCCUGUAGUCCCUGUCUCUUAUAC